rnacentral:rRNA from 1 species
AUGGCGGCGGCGUGGGGCGGCACCACGCAGAAGUGCGCCUCCUGCGGCAAGAAGGUGUACCCGGUCGAGGAGCUCGCCGCCGACGGCCGCGCCUACCAUCGCCCCUGCUUCCGCUGCCACCACUGCAAGAGCACCCUCCAGUUUAGCAAUUAUUCUUCGAUCGAAGGUGUCCUGUACUGCAAACCUCACUAUGACCAGAUAUUAAAAUCAACUGGCAGUUUAGAAAAAAGUUUUGAAGGUGUGACAAGAGCAGCUAAAUCAGAAAAAUCAAAUGGACCUAAGGGCCAGCAAAACAGCAGAUUCUCUAGCAUGUUUGUCGGCACGCAAGACAAGUGCGUAGUUUGUAACAAGACUGUAUACCCUCUUGAAAAGGUUGAUCUUAACGGAGGCUCGUAUCAUAAAUCAUGCUUCCGUUGCACCCAUGGUGGUUGUACACUCAGCCCAUCCAACAAUGUCACACAUGAAGGCAAACUUUAUUGCAAGACCCACCAUUCUCAGUUGUUCAUGGUCAAGGGAAACUUCAGUCAGUUCGAGGAGAACACUGCAAAUGCAAAAGUGGCUAUCGAGAAACAACCAGAAACUGGAGAAGCCACCAACAAGCCAGGUCAAGGUGAUGAAGUCAGUGAGAAGACCUCAGAAAAUGAGCUCACAGCUGAUGAAGCAUCCCAAAAUGAUGUUGCAGCUGAAAAACAAUCACAUAGCAUUGAUGUUGCUAAACCAUCGGAAAGCACAGUUGAGAAGUCAGCAGAAAGUGAAAGUGUUAGUGAGAGUGAGUCAAAGAGUCCUGUAGUUAACAAUAAGCCAUUAGAAAGCAGUGCCGAGAAGCCACAGCAGAGCAGUGUGGUUGAUGCUAAGCCAUCAGGAAGCAGUGCGGCCAUAAGAAAACCAUGGCAACGCAGUCUUCCCACGAAUAAGCCGUUAGUGAGUAGUGCAUCAACUGAAAAGCCAUCACCGAGCGAUGCAGCCAUUGAGAAGCCGUCAUCCAGUAAUGGGACUAAUGGGAAACCGUCGGACAGCAGCACAGCGGUAAAAAAGUCAUGGCAGCGCAGUGUAGCUACUGAGAACCCACAGCAGAGCAUGUUACCAUCGGAUAAGCCAGUAUCAACCAGUGCAGAUGAUGUGAAGCCAUCAGAAAGCGGCAAAGUGGUCAAAAAAACAUGGCAACGCCCUGUGGUUGCUGAGAACCAGAAACAAAACAGUGGACCAACUGAAAAGCCGUCACCGAAGAGUGAUACAAAGCCGUUAGAUAGCAGCACAGCAAUUAAAAGGCCAUGGGGCCGCAGAAUAGCCAGUGAGAAAUCUCUGCAGAGCAGUGAGGUUGAUAUGAAACCAGUGGAAACCAGUACAGUGGUCACUGUUCUACAGCAGCCCAGUGAGGAACCUCUACAAACCAGUGCAGCUGUGCUACAGCAGCCCAGUGAGGAACCUCUACAAACCAGUGCAGCUGUGCUACAGCAGCCCAGUGAGGAACCUCAACAAACUAAUGCAGCUGUGCUACAGCAGCCCAGUGAGGAACCUCAACAAACUAAUGCAGAUGAUGUGAAGCCUUCGGAGGACACUGCAGUAGUAGUGAAAAAGCCAUGGCAAUUCAACACGAGAACCGAGAAGCAACCCCAGAGUAAUGUAGUCGAUGCAAAGAAAACUGAAAGUGCUGGAUCGAUCAAACGGCAGUGGAAGCGCAACACGCCAUUUGAGAAGCCAUCACAAAGCAGUGCAGCAGCAGCUGUGACAAUGACACAAAGCAAUGUGACCGUCACCAAGCCAGCCCCGAGCAACAUGGCUGUGAAGAAGUCAUGGCAAAGAAGUACAACUCCAAAAAAUCUGGCAGCGAGUGAUAUGGCUACCAAUAAAGCAUUGCAAACCAAGGCAGUGAUCGAGAAGCCAUCACAAGAAAGUUCUCAAGAGAAACCAUUACAAGAAAAGGCACCUCAAAUCACUGUGAUCACCGAGAAGCUACCGGAAGAAAGUUCUCAAGAGAAGCCAUCUCAAGAAAAGGCACCUCAAACUGCUGCGAUCAUCGAGAAGCCAUCACAAGAAAGUUCUCAAGAGAAGCCAUCUGAAGCAAAGACACCUAAAAUUGCUGCAACCGCCGAGAACCCAUCAAAUGAAAGUUCUCAAGAAAAGGCACCUCAAAUAGCUUCGAUCACCGGGAAGCCAUCACAAGAAAGUUCUCAAGAGAAGCCAUUACAAAUGAAUGAAUCUUCCAAGGAGCAACUUCAGACUGAAGAGACUGUUGAGAAACAACUUCAAAAUGAAGAUAUUGCUGAUGCUACACCACAAAGGAACCUGAUGACACAGGAUGAUGUCUCUCUCAAGAAGGUACCAGAGCCUGAAAUUGAUGCCACUUCUGGUGAGAACUUGUCAGGUUCUCAAAGUAAGCCAACUGUUGAGCAAACGUUGCAAUCCCAAGACGUCGUGGUUACUCAAGAGGCAAUUGGCCAGAUAACGGAAGCUAAAAAGGAUGCUGGCGUUGAGCAGUCAUCAGAAUCUCGAAGUGUUGCACCGGCUGAGGUUCCAGUGGAGCAACCAUUGCAACGACAAAAAGAUGCAUCCACAGAGCCUAGUAGUGAUGCAAUAGUUAAGGAGUCAUUGCAGCCUGAAUUUGACCCAGCUGCCGUGAAGUCAUCAGAACCACAAACAGAUGCAGCUGCUGAUCAGUCGGCUGAGCAGCUAUCAGAACCUCAAAGUGCCGCAUCAGUGGAGGAACCAGUAGUCCAUCAAAGUGACACAUCUACUGAGAAGCCAUCUGAGUCUCAAGGUGAUGCAGCUGCUGGUGAAUCAUCAGGACCGCCAUCAGAGCCUCAGAACGAUGCAUCCGCCGGGGAACCCUCAGAACCUAAAGUUGACGCAAUUACCGAGGAGCGAUCAGAGAGUCAAAUUGGUGCAGGUCCUCAUGAUUUAACUGAGCAGCCAUUGGAACCUCAAAAGGAUGGGCGUAUUGAGAAGCCACUGGAAACUGAGACUAACGUUGUUACUGAUAAUCCAUCAGAAAGCAGCUUAGCUACUGAAACACUGCCUGAAAGCAUUCCAAAGAUCAGCACUACCACCGAGGAACCUGCACAGCAUGAAAUUUCUGAUGAGACACUGCCUCAAAGCAUUGCACUAGAAACAACACCAGAAAGCACCGCAUUUGUUGAGGAACCCGCAGAUGUCGGUGAGGCCAGUGUUAAGAUAUCAGAUGACAUCUCAGCUGCUGAGAAGCCAUCGGAGGAUGCUGUAACUCCUGAGAAGCCAUCAGAGGAAGUUAAGGCUAGUGUUCAGCCAGCAGAAGACAAUGUGGCUCUCGAGGAACCAUCGGAGGAAGACGAGGUGAGUGUUGAGCCAUCAAGCAUAGUGGAUCUCGAGAGGCCAUCGGAGGAAAAAGAUGAUGCUGUCAAGCCAGUAGAGGACAGCGUGGCUCUUGAGAAGCCAACCGCUGACAAACCUUCAGAGGAAGAUGAGGUGAGUGCUGAGCCAUCAGACGACAGAGCGGAUCUUGAUAAGCCAUCAGAGAAAGAAGUUGACACUGUUGUCAAGCCAUCAGAGGACAGCAUGGCUGUUGAGGAGCCUGUCACCGACAAACCAUCAGUGGAAGAUGAAGCCAGUGCUGAGCCAUCAAACGACAGAAUAGAUGCCGAGAAACCAUCAGAGGAGAAAGAAGACGACACUGUGAAGUCAUCAGAGGAUAGCAUGGCUCUUGAGAAGCCAGCCACUGACAAACCAUCAAAGGAAGAGGAAGAAGGCGCAGCCACCGAGAAGCCGUCGCAUGACGAUGCUGCCAUCGAGGCACCAUCGCACCACGACACGGACUCGGCCACCGACAUACCCUCGCCUGCCACAGAGACGAACAUAUCAGCCUGA